rnacentral:rRNA from 1 species
UGAGGAAUAUUGGUCAAUGGGCGCAAGCCUGAACCAGCCAUGCCGCGUGAAGGAUGAAGGUUCUAUGGAUUGUAAACUUCUUUUAUUUGGGAAUAAACCUCUUUACGUGUAGAGAGCUGAAGGUACCAAACGAAUAAGCACCGGCUAACUCCGUGCCAGCAGCCGCGGUAAUACGGAGGGUGCAAGCGUUAUCCGGAAUCAUUGGGUUUAAAGGGUCCGCAGGCGGAUGUAUAAGUCAGUGGUGAAAUCUCUCGGCUCAACCGAGAAACUGCCAUUGAUACUGUACGUCUUGAAUUCGGUCGAAGUGGGCGGAAUAUGACAUGUAGCGGUGAAAUGCUUAGAUAUGUCAUAGAACACCGAUAGCGAAGGCAGCUCACUAGGCCUGGAUUGACGCUCAGGGACGAAAGCGUGGGGAGCAAACAGG